rnacentral:rRNA from 1 species
GAUGAACGCUGGCGGCGUGCCUAAUACAUGCAAGUCGAGCGAACGGACGAGAAGCUUGCUUCUCUGAUGUUAGCGGCGGACGGGUGAGUAACACGUGGAUAACCUACCUAUAAGACUGGGAUAACUUCGGGAAACCGGAGCUAAUACCGGAUAAUAUUUUGAACCGCAUGGUUCAAAAGUGAAAGACGGUCUUGCUGUCACUUAUAGAUGGAUCCGCGCUGCAUUAGCUAGUUGGUAAGGUAACGGCUUACCAAGGCAACGAUGCAUAGCCGACCUGAGAGGGUGAUCGGCCACACUGGAACUGAGACACGGUCCAGACUCCUACGGGAGGCAGCAGUAGGGAAUCUUCCGCAAUGGGCGAAAGCCUGACGGAGCAACGCCGCGUGAGUGAUGAAGGUCUUCGGAUCGUAAAACUCUGUUAUUAGGGAAGAACAUAUGUGUAAGUAACUGUGCACAUCUUGACGGUACCUAAUCAGAAAGCCACGGCUAACUACGUGCCAGCAGCCGCGGUAAUACGUAGGUGGCAAGCGUUAUCCGGAAUUAUUGGGCGUAAAGCGCGCGUAGGCGGUUUUUUAAGUCUGAUGUGAAAGCCCACGGCUCAACCGUGGAGGGUCAUUGGAAACUGGAAAACUUGAGUGCAGAAGAGGAAAGUGGAAUUCCAUGUGUAGCGGUGAAAUGCGCAGAGAUAUGGAGGAACACCAGUGGCGAAGGCGACUUUCUGGUCUGUAACUGACGCUGAUGUACGAAAGCGUGGGGAUCAAACAGGAUUAGAUACCCUGGUAGUCCACGCCGUAAACGAUGAGUGCUAAGUGUUAGGGGGUUUCCGCCCCUUAGUGCUGCAGCUAACGCAUUAAGCACUCCGCCUGGGGAGUACGACCGCAAGGUUGAAACUCAAAGGAAUUGACGGGGACCCGCACAAGCGGUGGAGCAUGUGGUUUAAUUCGAAGCAACGCGAAGAACCUUACCAAAUCUUGACAUCCUUUGACAACUCUAGAGAUAGAGCCUUCCCCUUCGGGGGACAAAGUGACAGGUGGUGCAUGGUUGUCGUCAGCUCGUGUCGUGAGAUGUUGGGUUAGGUCCCGCAACGAGCGCAACCCUUAAGCUUAGUUGCCAUCAUUAAGUUGGGCACUCUAAGUUGACUGCCGGUGACAAACCGGAGGAAGGUGGGGAUGACGUCAAAUCAUCAUGCCCCUUAUGAUUUGGGCUACACACGUGCUACAAUGGACAAUACAAAGGGCAGCGAAACCGCGAGGUCAAGCAAAUCCCAUAAAGUUGUUCUCAGUUCGGAUUGUAGUCUGCAACUCGACUACAUGAAGCUGGAAUCGCUAGUAAUCGUAGAUCAGCAUGCUACGGUGAAUACGUUCCCGGGUCU